CCUACUGGGUGCUGCAGUAGGGAAUCUUUCACAAUGGGCGAAAGCCUGAUGGCGCAACGCCGCGUGCAGGAUGAAUGCCUUCGGGUUGUAAACUGCUUUUAUAAGCGAGAAAUAUGAUGGUAACUUAUGAAUAAGAAUCGGCUAACUACGUGCCAGCAGCCGCUGUCAUACGAAGGAUCCGAGCAUUAUCCGGAGUGACUGGGUGUAAAGAGUUUCGUAGGUGGCAUAAUAAGUAGCUAGUGAAAUCUGGUGGCUCAACCAAUCAGACUAUUAGCUAAACUGUUAAGCUCGAGACCGUUAGGGGUAACUGGAAUUUCUAGUGUAGGAGUGAAAUCCGUGGAUAUUAGAAGGAACACCAAUAGCGUAGGCAGGUUGCUGGGACGGUUCUGACACUAAGGCACGAAAGCGUAGGGAGCAAACGGGAUUAGAUACCCGGGUAGUC
rnacentral:rRNA from 1 species